rnacentral:snRNA from 1 species
UGAUGUGAGGGCAAUCUAGCUGCGACAACUGUCACCCCACUGAUCACCAGGGUUGAUUCGGCUGAUCUGGCUGGCUAGGCGGGUGUCCCCCUCCUCCCUCAAUAUUCCAUGUGCGUCCCUCCUGAAGAAAUACUCCCUUAUCCCAACUGUUAUUCAACUUUGUAAAGAAGUCUAGCCAGGAAAAGAAAUUUUAAGUAGUGAAAAGAAACAAAAAAUAUGAUUUGCAGAUGAUAUACAUGUCCUAAAAGAUUCAAAAUACUAAUUAACAAUAAUAAUAAGAUCACAGUUUGUUAUGGUUUGUGUCU